rnacentral:rRNA from 1 species
UGGGGAAUAUUGCACAAUGGGCGGAAGCCUGAUGCAGCGACGCCGCGUGAGGGAUGACGGCCUUCGGGUUGUAAACCUCUUUCAGUAGGGACGAAGCGCAAGUGACGGUACCUACAGAAGAAGCACCGGCCAACUACGUGCCAGCAGCCGCGGUAAUACGUAGGGUGCGAGCGUUGUCCGGAUUUACUGGGCGUAAAGAGCUCGUAGGCGGUUUGUCACGUCGUCUGUGAAAACCCGAGGCUUAACCUCGGGCCUGCAGGCGAUACGGGCAGACUUGAGUACUGUAGGGGAGACUGGAAUUCCUGGUGUAUCGGUGGAAUGCGCAGAUAUCAGGAGGAACACCGGUGGCGAAGGCGGGUCUCUGGGCAGUAACUGACGCUGAGGAGCGAAAGCGUGGGUAGCGAACAGG